GACGAACGCUGGCGGCGUGCUUAACACAUGCAAGUCGAACGAUGAACCCGGAGCUUGCUCCGGUGGAUUAGUGGCGAACGGGUGAGUAACACGUGAGUAACCAGCCCUUGACUCUGGGAUAACUGCGGGAAACUGUAGCUAAUACCGGAUACGACCCUCGGCGGCAUCGCCAGGGGGUGGAAAGAAUUUCGGUCAAGGAUGGACUCGCGGCCUACCAGCUAGUUGGUGAGGUAACGGCUCACCAAGGCGACGACGGGUAGCCGGCCUGAGAGGGUGACCGGCCACACUGGGACUGAGACACGGCCCAGACUCCUACGGGAGGCAGCAGUGGGGAAUAUUGCACAAUGGGCGGAAGCCUGAUGCAGCAGCGCCGCGUGAGGGAUGACGGCCUUCGGGUUGUAAACCUCUUUUAGUAGGGAAGAAGCGAAAGUGACGGUACCUGCAGAAAAAGCACCGGCUAACUACGUGCCAGCCGCCGCAGUAA
rnacentral:rRNA from 1 species